UACAGAGGGCUCAAGCGUUGUUCGGAUUCAUUGGGCGUAAAGGGCGCGUAGGCGGCGGGGUAAGUCGGGUGUGAAAUCUCAGAGCUCAACUCUGAAACUGCACUCGAUACUGCUCUGCUUGAGGACUGGAGAGGAGACUGGAAUUCACGGUGUAGCAGUGAAAUGCGUAGAUAUCGUGAGGAAGACCAGUGGCGAAGGCGGGUCUCUGGACAGUUCCUGACGCUGAGGCGCGAAGGCCAGGGGAGCAAACAGG
rnacentral:rRNA from 1 species